rnacentral:rRNA from 1 species
GUGCAGCAGGCGAGAAUUUUUCUCAAUGGGGGCAACCCUGAAGGAGCGACGCCGCGUGGAGGAUGAAGGCUUUCGGGUUGUAAACUCCUGUCAUUUGAGAACAAGUGGCCGAACCUAACUACUUCGGCCUUGAUAGUAUCAGAAGAGGAAGGGACGGCUAACUCUGUGCCAGCAGCCGCGGUAAUACAGAGGUCCCAAGCGUUGUUCGGAUUCAUUGGGCGUAAAGGGUGCGUAGGUGGCGCCGUCAGUGGGGUGUGAAAUUUCGGAGCUUAACUCCGAAACUGCAUUCCAUACUGCGGUGCUUGAGGACUGGAGAGGAGACUGGAAUUUACGGUGUAGCAGUGAAAUGCGUAGAGAUCGUAAGGAAGACCAGUGGCGAAGGCGGGUCUCUGGACAGUUCCUGACACUGAGGCACGAAGGCCAGGGGAGCAAACGGGAUUAGAUACCCCUGUAGU